rnacentral:rRNA from 1 species
UACGGAGGGGGCUAGCGUUGUUCGGAAUUACUGGGCGUAAAGCGCACGUAGGCGGCCAUUCAAGUCAGAGGUGAAAGCCCGGGGCUCAACCCCGGAAUAGCCUUUGAAACUAGAUGGCUUGAAUCACGGAGAGGUGGGUGGAAUUCCGAGUGUAGAGGUGAAAUUCGUAGAUAUUCGGAAGAACACCAGUGGCGAAGGCGGCCCACUGGACGUGUAUUGACGCUGAGGUGCGAAAGCGUGGGGAGCAAAC